CCUACGGGCGGCAGUAGUGAGGAAUCUUCGUCAAUGGGCGCAAGUCUGAACCAGCCAUGCCGCGUGCAUGAAGACGGCUCUAUGAGUUGUAAACUGCUUUUGUACGAGGGUAAACGCAUAUACGCGUCUCUGCCUGACAGUAUCGUACGAAUAAGGAUCGGCUAACUCCGUGCCAGCAGCCGCGGUAAUGCGGAGGAUUCAAGCGUUAUCCGGUUUUAUGGGGUUUAAAGGAUGCGUAGGCGGUCGGAUAAGUUAGAGGUGAAAUCCCGAGGCUCAACUUCGGAAUUGCCGCUGAUACUGUUCGGCUAGAGAGUAGUUGCGGUAGGCGGAAUGUAUGGUGUAGCGGUGAAAUGCUCAGAGAUAAGACAGAACACCGAUGGCGAAGGCAGCUUACCAAGCUACUUCUGACGUUGAGGUACGAAAGCGUGGGGAGCAAACAGGAUUAGAUACCCGGGUAGUC
rnacentral:rRNA from 1 species